rnacentral:rRNA from 1 species
ACGGGGGCCCGGCACAAGCGGUGGAGUAUGUGGUUUAAUUUCGAUGCAACGCGAAGAACCUUACCUGGUCUUGACAUCCCGGAGACCCUUAGGAAACUAGGGGUGCUUCCAUCUGGAAGAAUCUGGAGACAGGUGCCGCAUGGCUGUCGUCAGCUCGUGUCGUGAGAUGUUGGGUUAAGUCCCGCAACGAGCGCAACCCUUGCCUUUAGUUGCCAGCAGUUCGGCUGGGCACUCUAAAGGGACUGCCGGUGUUAAACCGGAGGAAGGUGGGGAUGACGUCAAGUCCUCAUGGCCUUUAUGACCAGGGCUACACACGUACUACAAUGGCCGAUACAAAGGGCAGCGACACUGCGAGGUGAAGCCAAUCCCGUAAAAUCGGUCUCAGUCCGGAUUGGAGUCUGCAACUCGACUCCAUGAAGUUGGAAUCGCUAGUAAUCGUGGAUCAGCAUGCCACGGUGAAUACGUUCCCGGGCCUU